UGACUAUACAAAGGUAUUGUAAUAAGAUUUUAAUUGAAUGCUAAAAGAAUGGAAGUUUAGAAAAAGUCUUUUUAAAAAAUAAAAAUUAAAAUUUUUUUAAUUUGUGCAGAAACAAUUAUUUAUAUUAAAGACAAGAAGACCCUAAGAAUUUUCUGGUUCAAUAAUUUAUAUAUUUAAUUUAUUAAACCUUGGUUGGGGCGAUCAAAAAAUAUUAAUAACUUUUUUUCAUUAAAAUGAUCUAUUAUUAAUAAAUUAAUGAAUUAAAUACUCUAGGGAUAACAGCGUAAUAAUUUUUGAUAGAUCUUAUAGACAAAAUAGUUUGCGACCUCGAUGUUGGAUUAGGAUUCUUUUUUGGUGAAGAAACCAAAAAAAGAAGUUUGUUCAACUUUUAAACUCCUACUUGAUCUGA
rnacentral:rRNA from 1 species